rnacentral:rRNA from 1 species
UACGAAGGGGGCUAGCGUUGUUCGGAAUUACUGGGCGUAAAGCGCACGUAGGCGGACAUUUAAGUCAGGGGUGAAAUCCCGGAGCUCAACUCCGGAACUGCCUUUGAUACUGGGGAUCUCGAGUCCGGAAGAGGUGAGUGGAACUCCGAGUGUAGAGGUGAAAUUCGUAGAUAUUCGCAAGAACACCAGUGGCGAAGGCGGCUCACUGGCCCGAUACUGACGCUGAGGUGCGAAAGCGUGGGGAGCAAACAGG